rnacentral:rRNA from 1 species
GGCUCAGGAUGAACGCUGGCGGCGUGCCUAAUACAUGCAAGUCGAACGGUCAUAGCAAUAUGAUAGUGGCGACCGGGUGCGUAACACGUAGCUGACCUGCCCCUCUGCGGGGGACAACAGUUCGAAAGGGCUGCUAAUACCGCGUACAUUCGAGGUGUUCAGAAAGCCUUGAAGAAACUUCAGGGGUGGAGGGAGGGAGCUGCGGCCCAUCAGGUAGUUGGUAGGGUAAUGGCCUACCAAGCCAACGACGGGUAGGGGGCCUGAGAGGGUGACCCCCCACACUGGAACAGACAGACGGUCCAGACUCCUACGGGAGGCAGCAGUAAGGGAUAUUGGGCAAUGGGCGAAAGCCUGACCCAGCAACGCCGCGUGGAGGAUGACGGUCUUCGGAUUGUAAACUCCUUUUGUCGGGGACGAGGAAGGACGGUACCCGGCGAAUCAGUCUCGGCUAACUACGUGCCAGCAGCCGCGGUAAAACGUAGGAGGCGAGCGUUAUCCGGAUUUACUGGGCGUAAAGGGUGCGCAGGCGGGCCGUUAAGUGGUGCAUGAAAGCGAAGGGCUCAACCCUUCGAGGCUGUGCCAGACUGGCGGUCUGGAGUGCGGGAGAGGGCUGUGGAAUUCCGGGUGUAGUGGUGAAAUGCGUAGAGAUCCGGAGGAACACCAGAGGCGAAGGCGGCAGCCUGGCCCGCAACUGACGCUGAGACACGACAGCAUGGGGAGCGAACGGGAUUAGAAACCCCGGUAGUCCAUGCCGUAAACGAUGACUGCUGGGCGUCGGAUGGCUAACACCGUUCGGUGUCGAAGUAAACACGUUAAGCAGUCCGCCUGGGGAGUACGGUC